UGAUUUCCUUUUUCAUUAUUGUAAAAAGAACAGAAAGUACCCCCCGAGCCCAUUUCUUCAUUUACUUUUACUCGAUUUCUAGCACUGAAAGUUGGAGGAAGAAGCAGAACUCAGAACCCGGAGACCGGAGGCCGGAGGCCGGAAGCCCUAGCUUCCGAUUUUAGCGUUACCGUCUUCCCAGUAGCUUAAAGAUUGAAUAUUGUGUACCUUGUAGAUGUUUGUAAUGAUAUGGAUACCAAGAGGCAUGGCAAGCACUUGAGAUCAGACACCAUUACUACUACUGAAAAUUCUGAAGUGAAACUGUUCUCUGUAGGAGAAACUGAAAAUAGUGGCAAUCUUGAAUUUUCUAGUCCAUCAGGUAAGCCCUUGGAAAACAAGGAGGAACAAUCACAUGGAGAGUGCACGAAAGUUGAAUCACGGAAAUGUCUGAAGGACAAGGAGACAGAAGAUCAAGAACUUACUGUGGGUGAUAAGGAUGUAGAGGCUUUGAGAAAUAAUUUACCUAAAGAUUUUGGUGGCUCAAAUUAUAAGAAGGUUCUAUUAUGCAAUAGUGAGGUUAUGGAUGCUGAAGCCACCAAUGGAUCAAGUGUCACCUUAGGGGAUUCGGACAUUGGAUCAAAAAAUCACUCGGUUGGACGGAGUAUUGGUACUACAAAUCCUGAGAGAGAGAGUAAGCAAACGAACAUGGAACUAGAGAAUGGAGAAAACCAAAUGGCAUCAAGAUCAGCUGCUUCAAAAAAGAGGUCAAGAAGUUUGUCCCCCGUUGCUGAUGUUAAUGGUGAAGAAAAACACCCUGCUGCAGCUAUCUGUGACUUCUAUGCUAAAGGCUGGUGCAUAAAAGGUAGCUCUUGCAGCUUUCUGCAUAUAAAAAAGAAUGCAUACAGUAGUGACCAGCAUUCUGAGGAUCGUGCUGAUGCUUCAAAUUUGAAAAAACAAGCUCAGCUCAAUGAAGGUUUGCAAUACAGUGCAGACGUGUUGAAAUCACCAGUUGUUCAUCAUCCACCGAAUUCUUCUCUUCUAAAGGACUCUUCACUUUCUCUGAAAUUUGGUCUUUCUUCAGAAAGAACUUUACCAAGGGACUUCUCCAAAAGCCAAGGAUGGGAUGGGUUGCAUGAGAAAAACAAAAUUUUAUUGCAUCAGAGGGAGGAUUCACUUUUGGGUGCACUUCCUGAUUGCCAGAAAUUGCCUUCUACUAGUUUUGGUGCAUCGUUUCCCCUUAGUAGAGGUCUUUCUGCAUCAAGGCAUGGGUUGCCUCCUGAGUUUGGACUUUCUGCAGAUGGCUUCACCAAAUUGGGUGUCAUGGAGGAACCCGCUAAUGUUGCAUGUCCACGUUUGCUGAACAAUCACCUUCCAAGGGGUGGUAUUUUAUCUUCACGUUUCACUACCUCUAAUGCUUCUUCUUUGCCUUUUACAUCUUCCUCAAAUGCAAGCCUCCUCGGUGCUCAUAAGAUGUCCAUUAUGGACAGAGAACAUCAUGUUUCUACGCUGGCCUCGUUGAUGAGAAGUUCUCCCUUUUCUGCCUCCGGAUCAGAUAAUUCAUUAACUAAUGGGUCAAUGAAUUCUUCAGAAUUCAAAAUGAAAUAUUCUUCGGACGAUUGGGAACCAUCUAUACCUUUUAGACCAUCCUUUUUUAUUCCUUCAAUAACUACGGUAAGCCAGUAUGAUCCUUUCUUGGAUAGCAUUGAGGUACCGAGAAUAGUGGGUGGUUCUUAUAAUGUUUCUCUUGAUCGUCAAGGACAUGAAGAAGCAUCACCUCUUAGAACUUUACGGAGGGCAUCGGGUAAUUUUAUGGUUCCUGGGAGUUCAAAGCCGGAAUCUAAUGAUGAUACAAGUUCUUUAUCCUCUCAUAAUAAAACUGAGGAGAAGAAUGAAAAAAUUGGGCAUCUACAAGGCAAAGAUUCACUUUUGUUAGAAGCAGAAAUACGGGGAUCUUUUGGUAUUGAUGGCCGUAAUGGUUCUAGGACAAGAGAGGAUGAUCACAUGGGUGUCACCCGUGAAAAAAAUGUUACCAAAAAGAAGGAUGGUGAACUAAAGCUUCCAAAUAUUUCAUUACAUGAAAAGGACUCUGAAGCCGAUAGUGAUAGACAACUUGGUGAUAUGGAUGGUAAGCAUCUCAUGGAUGGAAAUGUGCCCAAAGAAUCAAAAGCAACUAGGCACUUCCGAUCUGCUCUCAUAGAAUUGGUGAAACAAAUAUUGAAACCUAAGUGGCGUGAGGGACGUCUCAAAAAGGAUGUACAUAACACUGUUGUUAAGAAGACACUUGAUAAGGUUCUAGGUGCUCUUCAAUCUCACCAAGUUCCAACUACUGUGGAAUCGGUUAAGCAGUAUCUUUCUUCAUCUCGUCCGAAGAUCGAGAAGCUUGUUGAGGGAUAUGUUAGUAAAUAUGGAAAGUCUUGAGAUGGCAGGCUAGCGCUUUUUUUUUUUUGUCUCUCGUUCUCCAUUGAAAGACAAGGAUAGAUGAUUUUCUGUUAUUAGACGCAGUGCUUCUGAGCCAGUUUUUAGAAGCCUUAUCUGUUGCUGUGGCGACUACUUUCUGUCAAAUGAACUGUUGUUGGAACGGGGCACAGGCACAUCAUUAACAAAUACAAAUGCUUCAAAGAAUUACAGGUGACUUCUUGUUUGUUAACUGUUAAUAUGCGAUUUAGUGUUGGUUUGAAAUGACUUUCGAAGUUUUGAUCUUACUAGACCAGCUAAAAGCUUACUCCAAUUGAUUAUGGCAUGCUUUGAGCCUCGAAAUAUAUAUAAUAUAACCAAAAAAAUUAUUUAA